rnacentral:rRNA from 1 species
AUGGUCCCAGGAGAAAAUGAAACAUAUAUAUGUUCAUUAGUUAUUUUAGUUGCAGGUUCAUCCCUGAGAAGCUCAGCAAAAAAUAACAUGUUAAGACACUCUUAUAUUAAUUUACCGUAUAUGACUCCCACGAUUUAUGCCUAUCAAGUAUCAAGUUUAAAAUUAUAUUCCAAGGUUAGUAACAAAAACCAUCGAUUCAUGCAGAAAGCUCCUACAAACUUAAUAUCCUAUGUAGAAUGCAUAAUCAAGUUAACUAUCUCCAUGCUUCACAUUUAUGGAAUAAUAAUGGACAUGCUAUGA